rnacentral:pre_miRNA from 10 species
AAGCGCGGCUCUCGGUGGUCUGGCUCUGCGUGGAAGACUAGUGAUUUUGUUGUUCUGAUUUAUAAAGGUGACAACAAAUCAUAGCCUGCCACCCAGCCCAGACCUGCACCUCUCUGUGGGAGC